CAUGUCUCUGGGCAACAGAACAAACCGCCGACUGGCCUGGGAGGGCAGGCUUCCAAGGGUCCUCGUGGCUACCCAGCCCAUCUGCUCAGCCAACUGCUUGCAUCUGGAACUCCAGUUUAAUCAUGAAAAAAACAUCUGACAAACCCAAAUGGAGGAACACCCACAAAAUGCCUCGUCACUGCUUUUCAAAAGGGCCAAGGUCAUGAAAACCGAGAAAGAACUGAGAAACCAUCUCACAUCGGAG
rnacentral:lncRNA from 1 species